rnacentral:rRNA from 1 species
GGACCUUCGGGCCUCAUGCCAUCAGAUGUGGCCCAGAUGGGAUUAGCUAGUAGGUGGGGUAACGGCUCACCUAGGCGACGAUCCCUAGCUGGUCUGAGAGGAUGACCAGCCACACUGGAACUGAGACACGGUCCAGACUCCUACGGGAGGCAGCAGUGGGGAAUAUUGCACAAUGGGCGCAAGCCUGAUGCAGCCAUGCCGCGUGUGUGAAGAAGGCCUUCGGGUUGUAAAGCACUUUCAGCGGGGAGGAAGGCGAUAAGGUUAAUAACCUUGUCGAUUGACGUUACCCGCAGAAGAAGCACCGGCUAACUCCGUGCCAGCAGCCGCGGUAAUACGGAGGGUGCAAGCGUUAAUCGGAAUUACUGGGCGUAAAGCGCACGCAGGCGGUCUGUCAAGUCGGAUGUGAAAUCCCCGGGCUCAACCUGGGAACUGCAUUCGAAACUGGCAGGCUAGAGUCUUGUAGAGGGGGGUAGAAUUCCAGGUGUAGCGGUGAAAUGCGUAGAGAUCUGGAGGAAUACCGGUGGCGAAGGCGGCCCCCUGGACAAAGACUGACGCUCAGGUGCGAAAGCGUGGGGAGCAAACAGGAUUAGAUACCCUGGUAGUCCACGCCGUAAACGAUGUCGAUUUGGAGGUUGUGCCCUUGAGGCGUGGCUUCCGGAGCUAACGCGUUAAAUCGACCGCCUGGGGAGUACGGCCGCAAGGUUAAAACUCAAAUGAAUUGACGGGGGCCCGCACAAGCGGUGGAGCAUGUGGUUUAAUUCGAUGCAACGCGAAGAACCUUACCUGGUCUUGACAUCCACAGAACUUGCCAGAGAUGGUUUGGUGCCUUCGGGAACUGUGAGACAGGUGCUGCAUGGCUGUCGUCAGCUCGUGUUGUGAAAUGUUGGGUUAAGUCCCGCAACGAGCGCAACCCUUAUCCUUUGUUGCCAGCGGUUAGGCCGGGAACUCAAAGGAGACUGCCAGUGAUAAACUGGAGGAAGGGGGGGGAUGACGUCAAGUCAUCAUGGCCCUUACGACCAGGGCUACACACGUGCUACAAUGGCAUUUACAAAAAGAAAGCGACCCUCCGCGAAAGCAAGCGGAC